rnacentral:rRNA from 1 species
GUUUGAUGUUCUAACGUUGACCCGUGAUCCGGGUUGCGGACAGUGUCUGGUGGGUAGUUUGACUGGGGCGGUCUCCUCCUAAAGAGUAACGGAGGAGCACGAAGGUUGGCUAAUCCUGGUCGGACAUCAGGAGGUUAGUGCAAUGGCAUAAGCCAGCUUGACUGCGAGCGUGACGGCGCGAGCAGGUGCGAAAGCAGGUCAUAGUGAUCCGGUGGUUCUGAAUGGAAGGGCCAUCGCUCAACGGAUAAAAGGUACUCCGGGGAUAACAGGCUGAUACCGCCCAAGAGUUCAUAUCGACGGCGGUGUUUGGCACCUCGAUGUCGGCUCAUCACAUCCUGGGGCUGAAGUAGGUCCCAAGGGUAUGGCUGUUCGCCAUUUAAAGUGGUACGCGAGCUGGGUUUAGAACGUCGUGAGACAGUUCGGUCCCUA